rnacentral:piRNA from 1 species
UGGGCCAAAUGCAUUCAGUCAGUCGG